rnacentral:rRNA from 1 species
GACGAACGCUGGCGGCGUGUUUAACACAUGCAAGUCGAACGGAAAGGCCCUGCUUUUGUGGGGUGCUCGAGUGGCGAACGGGUGAGUAACACGUGAGUAACCUGCCCUUGACUUUGGGAUGACUUCAGGAAACUGGGGCUAAUACCGGAUAGGAGCUCCUGCUGCAUGGUGGGGGUUGGAAAGUUUCGGCGGUUGGGGAUGGACUCGCGGCUUAUCAGCUUGUUGGUGGGGUAGUGGCUUACCAAGGCUUCGACGGGUAGCCGGCCUGAGAGGGUGACCGGCCACAUUGGGACUGAGAUACGGCCCAGACUCCUACGGGAGGCAGCAGUGGGGAAUAUUGCACAAUGGGCGGAAGCCUGAUGCAGCAACGCCGCGUGCGGGAUGACGGCCUUCGGGUUGUAAACCGCUUUCGCCUGUGACGAAGCGUGAGUGACGGUAAUGGGUAAAGAAGCACCGGCUAACUACGUGCCAGCAGCCGCGGUGAUACGUAGGGUGCGAGCGUUGUCCGGAUUUAUUGGGCGUAAAGGGCUCGUAGGUGGUUGAUCGCGUCGGAAGUGUAAUCUUGGGGCUUAACCCUGAGCGUGCUUUCGAUACGGGUUGACUUGAGGAAGGUAGGGGAGAAUGGAAUUCCUGGUGGAGCGGUGGAAUGCGCAGAUAUCAGGAGGAACACCAGUGGCGAAGGCGGUUCUCUGGGCCUUUCCUGACGCUGAGGAGCGAAAGCGUGGGGAGCGAACAGGCUUAGAUACCCUGGUAGUCCACGCUGUAAACGGUGGGUACUAGGUGUGGGGUCCAUUCCACGGGUUCCGUGCCGUAGCUAACGCUUUAAGUACCCCGCCUGGGGAGUACGGCCGCAAGGCUAAAACUCAAAGGAAUUGACGGGGCCCCGCACAAGCGGCGGAGCAUGCGGAUUAAUUCGAUGCAACGCGUAGAACCUUACCUGGGUUUGACAUGGAUCGGGAGUGCUCAGAGAUGGGUGUGCCUCUUUUGGGGUCGGUUCACAGGUGGUGCAUGGCUGUCGUCAGCUCGUGUCGUGAGAUGUUGGGUUAAGUCCCGCAACGAGCGCAACCCUUGUUCACUGUUGCCAGCACGUUAUGGUGGGGACUCAGUGGAGACCGCCGGGGUCAACUCGGAGGAAGGUGGGGAUGACGUCAAGUCAUCAUGCCCCUUAUGUCCAGGGCUUCACGCAUGCUACAAUGGCUGGUACAGAGAGUGGCGAGCCUGUGAGGGUGAGCGAAUCUCGGAAAGCCGGUCUCAGUUCGGAUUGGGGUCUGCAACUCGACCUCAUGAAGUCGGAGUCGCUAGUAAUCGCAGAUCAGCAACGCUGCGGUGAAUACGUUCCCGGG